rnacentral:rRNA from 1 species
UACGUAGGGGGCUAGCGUUGUCCGGAUUUAUUGGGCGUAAAGAGCGUGUAGGCGGCCAGGUAGGUCUGCUGUGAAAACUCGAGGCUCAACCUCGAGACGUCGGCGGAAACCAUCUGGCUAGAGUCCGGAAGAGGAGAGUGGAAUUCCUGGUGUAGCGGUGAAAUGCGCAGAUAUCGGAAGGAACACCUGUGGCGAAAGCGGCUCACUGGACCAUUACUGACGCUGAGGCACGAAAGCUAGGGGAGCAAACAGG